CCACUCCCCUUACGCCUACAAACAUCCUCAUCGGAGGUGGAGUUGGUGGUUUAACUGGCGGAUAUGGUUUUACUGGAGGCUUAACUGGCGGAGAUGGUUUUACUGGUGGCUUAACUGGCGGAGAUGGUUUUACUGGUGGCUUAACUGGCGGAGAUGGUGGUUUACUAGGAGAAUGUGCUGGUGGAGUUGGCGGUUUAACUGGUGGAGAUGGUUUUACUGGUGGUUUAACUGGCGGAGAUGGUGGUUUGCUAGGAGAAUGUGCUGGUGGAGUUGGCGGUUUAACUGGUGGUUUAACUGGCGGAGAUGGAGGUUUACUAGGAGAAUGUGCAGGUGGAUACGGUGGUUUAACUGGUGGAGAUGGUGGUGGUGAAGAGUGAGAAG
rnacentral:lncRNA from 1 species